AGCGAACGCUGGCGGCAGGCCUAACACAUGCAAGUCGAACGAAGUCUUCGGACUUAGUGGCGGACGGGUGAGUAACACGUGGGAACGUACCUUUUGGUUCGGAAUAACUGAGGGAAACUUCAGCUAAUACCGGAUAAGCUCUUCGGAGGAAAGAUUUAUCGCCAUUAGAGCGGCCCGCGUUGGAUUAGGUAGUUGGUGUGGUAAAGGCGCACCAAGCCUACGAUCCAUAGCUGGUCUGAGAGGAUGAUCAGCCACACUGGGACUGAGACACGGCCCAGACUCCUACGGGAGGCAGCAGUGGGGAAUUUUGCGCAAUGGUCGAAAGACUGACGCAGCCAUGCCGCGUGAAUGAUGAAGGUCUUAGGAUUGUAAAAUUCUUUUAGCAGGAACGAUAAUGACGGUACCCGCAGAAAAAGCCCCGGCUAACUUCGUGCCAGCCGCCGCCGUAA
rnacentral:rRNA from 1 species